GUCACUGUCAACACGGAGGACAGCAGCCGCGCGUGACACGGAUGAAGCCGAUCAAAGGCUUUCGGUGGGGCGUGCGCGCGCGCGCUAAUCCCGUCCUCGCGCCUCCCGCCACUUUCCAGGCAAUUUUAACUCAAUAAAGCCACGGCACGACACGACGCGCACUUGCGCGGCUCUGUGGAGCGUCUUCCCUCGCUCGACACCCGUCACGCCACCGGUUUCUCAUCCCGCUCUGGAGCGUUGAGGACGGACGGGACGAGCCGCUCGCUUUCGGUGAGUCAACAACUUUCAUUUCCGGGUGCGUUUGACCCUCGGUGUCCUCUUGAAAACACGCUAGCCCUGGGACAUACAACAGACUUCUCACCGACCAACUCGGCGACAUCACGCUCACUGGCGUUCACACCAACCUCCGGUGUAUUUGCUCCAAAUAAACACUUCCGUCGCGGUUUCACGUUUAAAGAGCCAAUCUGUCAACUUUCCAGCUUCCUUGCACUCGAUGACCCUGCUCGCGUGUCACGUGAUACCUUGUUUACAGUCGCUUCGAAUUAGAAAAAAUGCAUAACAUGCGCCAUAAUUCCACAUAGACUCGACAACUAUGUGAUGUAAUAAUGAAUUGCUACAAUAUAAACCCAGUGCAUUAUUGUAUUUUUUUAUGUCUUCAACCUGUGUCGACUGAACCGUCAUUUAUGACGUCAUAAUGUAUAGAAAGUGGAGCAUUGGUUGGUCCUUCUGACUGGAAAUGGAGCGCUAAAAUUAAAUGUUAUGUAACAUAUAUGUGACGCACGUCUUACAAUUUCUCCCAGGUUUUUAGAAGCUGAGACGCAAUGACCCAAAUCAUUCAGCCGUAUUGGUAAUUCCAAACUGUGUCAAAUCUGGUGUGUCCAGCUUCAUGCGCAGCUCACAUACGGCACGGUGCCGCAGUGUCGUCCGUUUGGCCAACGUGACGGCGCCUGUCCCUCGUAGUGCAAAGCCCCGGCUGCCUUCUUUCCCAUACACCUAGACGUUUGUGGAAAUCAAACUGCUCUGGGUCAAGGCAUGUUUGUCAAACUCAAGGCCGGGGGACUGAAUCCUACGCAGCGAGUCGUUCUUUUCGGCCCACAUGAGCUAUAAAUACCUUCUUUAAAAUGUCGGCCCCUUGUGGGACUGAGCCUAUCGCAGGUACGUGAAUGUGAAAGUCAGGGACAUCCUGGAAAGGUAACACACGCCAUAGCCUCUGUACAUGUUUGGACAGUGGGAUGAAACCGGAGUGCUGCUCCUAAGCACAUAAGUAUUCAAGACUAAAUAUGUGGAUGCAUUUUUUUUCCUUUAAUAAAUAAUCUUUAAAAGAAUGUUAACACUAAAUGAAUAAAGAUGCAAAAUAAGAUGCACAAGAGGAGCUGUUGUCAAAUUGUAUAGAAAUUCUUUGUGUUUAGGAGCUUGGUCUAACGUGUUGAUGAUGUCAGUAUUAAGUUCAAAGAGCAACACAUAAAGUUACUUUGUUUUUCAGCGUCUUGUCUGGAUGUUAAAGAAUUUUUAUGAGGCGUCUUUCUUUUUUCACUCUUAUUUAAUAACUCUUUAAUCUGAAGUCGCAGCAGAAGAUCUCUAUCUGUCUAUCUAUAUAUAAAAAAGCGUUAAUUUAAGUAGUUAUUUGUCUCGCCGGUGAGUAAAAUAUCUUAUUCCAUUUUUAAAUUUUUUUCAUGAGAGCACUUUGACAUGAGUAUCUGAUCUUCUGUCAGGUUGUGACGUCGUAUGACUGUAUGUGUUACCAUUGAUCUCGGGAUGUUGUCUAGCAGAUGUCCGACCAACUGUUGUAGCGAAAACCUCCAGCUAUUGUGAUGCAGGUUUGUCACUCUCUGUAUUGAUCUGUUCAACUGAAAUGGUGUGUUUAAAUCAGGGACUCUAGCAAUUCAAUUUAUGCAUAUUAAAAAAUAAAAUCUUCAUUCCAAAUUCAAGAAUAAAACCUAUUUCCUGACAAAACGAAAAUGAAAACCAUUUAUACUUUUUUAAUGUUCUCUUUUUGGCCAUCUGAUCGGUAAACAAGCUACUUUGCUGCUUAUUAUACCGCAGGAUUUAUUAAUUUUAGGUAGAAAUAUCCUGUCCUAUAUAAACAGUGGGAGUGAAAGUUUUGACCAUAUUAUGUAUUUCUGAGAAAGAAAAUUCAUGAACCUUGUCGUAAUUAUUGGAAUUUCACCCACGAGUAAAUUAAAAACGCUUGAAUGAUUGCUGUUUUUCUGUCGGUGCUGAACUUGUUUUGAAUGUCAAUCAUGCUGCCUCCUUGAGAAUCUCUAUUGAAAGUAAUGCAUUUGCUACGUUUAGGAACUGAAUUACAGGUUUGCUGCUGAAUUCUGUCUCGCAAACCUUAAUGGGCUGAAUUCACGCAGCGCACGAGGGAACAAGGCCGCUCUAUCACACGAGAAUGCCAGUGAGAGCAGAGAGAGGCAGCCUUAACUUGGUUAGGUAUUCGGCCAGAUUGACAACAAGAUUUAGAGAACAGAAAACAAUAGGGCGAAAAGUAAUGUUUGCAACUCACUUUCCCCUCCUUUUGAAAAGCCAUUGUCAUUUUUGGACCAACAACACGGUGUACAAUUUAUCUCCAAGUAUCUGAGCUGUCGUUCUAAAAUCAUUUAUUUUGAAUAUGGCUCUAUCAGACCAGGGAUCUUAUUCCUCCGCAAACCUUCUCUGUUUGUUUUAUUUCAUCCACUGGUUUUGCUUUUUCUUGACAAGAAAGGUAGUGUUCGAUUUCUAAAGACCAAGCUGUGAUGACAGCCUCUUUGGAUGUUACUGUUUAUUCAAAAAAUCUGUUUUCAUUUAUCGCCGCUGAAAAAGAGAAAACAUUUGUCAGCACAUGUUAAAGGAAAACAAUGGCCCGGUCUCCUUUUGGAAAUCAAACCAUUUAUUUUGCAACUGUCAGGGUUCGUGCACUCAUGGCCCUCUGUGACAGGCAGGGCAUUCUAAAACACAAUCCCCACUCCAUGUCAGCGGCACUUCUUGAAGGAAAUGUGCGAUGAUUUUGAUCCGAUCUGAAGUGGAUAUGGGCGUCACACACUGUCCCGGGGUGAAGAUCGGGAUGUUGGUCAUAGCACUGGUCAAGUCCCAAAUACCUGAAGAUUAUGUUGGGUUUCUCUGUUGUGCUUAUAGUUGGUUGUCAUCUUUAGAGUUAAAGUGAAAAUUGGAUUGGACAUAGUGGCGUCAAAAUGAGCUGUGAAAGAAAAAAAAAAAAGAGUUCAUGACACAAAGGUUGACUGAGAAGGCAGAAAAAGAGUGGCGUUGAAAUAGAAAAUUUAAAAAGAAAUUGAAUAAAGGCCAAUAAGAAAAAGUAGACUGCAGUGAUGACUUUCUGACAAACAGUAAGUGUCAAAAGAGUCGAAAGUUGUCUGCCGAAAAAAACUGAUUAAAACAAAAACAUGGAUAAAUAUUUAAUUUAAAACCGUCAGCUACAAAAAGUUAAAAAUGGGAAUAAAAGAAUAUUUGAUGAAAAGGUUGUCAAAAUCUUUUCAAAGAUAAGUCACAAAAACUGAACCAUGGGUUGAAAACUGAGCAUUCUCAGACAGUGAAUGUCGGGUGUAAAGGUGAGUGCAGAAAAAAUGAUAAAAAGAAAGUUGAUGGUUGAUUUAAAAAGUGAAACUCAUACAUGGCAAAAAGGAAUAAUGCGUUUUAAAAAUGAAAGAUUGAUGUAGAAAAAAACCUGACUGUGUAGAAGGAAGGAAGUUGUUUGCAAGAAUUUCAUUAAUAAAAGUGAAUAAAUAUUUAACAGAAAAUAAAAGAUAAUUCCAUUCGUGACUACUAAACUACAACAAUUAGUUCUUGAGAAAUUAUGGAGACAGAAUCAAUUGAUCCUUUUUUUCCAAAAUAUUUUUGUAAUUCAGACUUUUUUAAAUUAAAAAAUAAUAAAUUAUACAUAUUAUAAAUAAAUAAAUUAUUAUAUUAUAAAUUAUUAUAAAUAAAUAAUAAAUUAAUAAACAGGAUUCAUUCAGGAACCUUGUGCUGACCGAAGGUUAAAAUGACCACGUUAGAAAAAAAUGCGUCCAAGAUGGAUGAGAGGCUGUUGUCUUAGAACAACGGUCUUCAGAACCUUUAAAGAAAAGAGUCAGCAUCUCUGAGUGUGUGCUCGGUGUGUGCACUCGCCUCCCCUCUCCUUCUCUGUAAAACGCAGCGCACACCGAGUUCAUCUGAGGACAAGGAAGUGCUCUCCUUUCCAGCGUGAAUCAUGUUGGAAAAAUGAGCCUCUGGACUGACUCGCCGCUCCAAUUUGGCACGUUUCACCAAACUGCUUUAUUGUCUAUUUUGGCUGAACUUGCGCUUCUUCAUGACAUGGCCAAGAAAGCUUCAGGUCCUCUGCAACAGGCACAGCAGCUUUCCGAUUCAACUGCGGCCUGUAAGCAAAUAAAGUUUUGCAGCUGAUUUCCUGGUGAAGAGGAGAUCUGAUGGAGAAGUCACUUAUUCAGAUUUUUAUUCAGCACGCAAAUAAAAGCACCAUUAGAUUUUUUUUGAACUUUUAUUCCUCUAACACUGAAGGAUUCUGAAGACUGUGUAUCAUCUGUUCGUUCUCGACUCAGAUGAAAAUGUGAAAAUGAUGACCUUUAGUUUGUGGGUUCUGAACAACUAUAAAUUGGUUAACAAGUAUUUUUUCAUUUUACGAGGAAUUCAAAAGAUAUGAGGACAUAGCUCCUUUGGCUCUGACGCUGUGCUGGCGACGUCAAGAUGCUUUGCAAGUGCAGCAAAUAAAGCAUGGUACCGGAAACACAGACUUUUGUCACAAUCCGAGAUUGAGCUGAGUCUGAAGACCGGUCCGAUGAUGACGUCAUUGCUCAGCUCUCACUUCAUCCACUAGUUCCUUCCAUGACUACUGAAACAGAUGGCCGAAACGGACUUCCUCAUUUUUGGACAGAUGUUCUGUGUUCCGGCCUUCUUUGGGCGUUUCCCACCCGGGGUUGCUAUGCCAAGUUGGUCUCCUGCACCUCGACCCAGCUUGGUCAUUCUUCCUCGUCAUCCAAAACACAUCCGUGACCUCACUGGUUAUAUUCCUCUUCUCCUUUUCCCGUGUGUUAUCACCAUAAGAACUACCAAUUUUUGACCUUGAAUCAUGCCUAUACAUCUGUCACGCCAACCCUUGGCACUUGCUUUAACUUGAUCAUUUUCACACGCUGACCACCAGAUGACAGCAGUGGUAUCGUAAAACAGCUCUGGUGUGUGUUAGCGUAGACCUGUUCAGAGCUUGUAAACGGUAAUGACGUUGGGGAUGGGACUGAUCCGGUAUUGGUAUCAGGCUCGGAUACCAAUGUUUUUGUCGGAUUAGCCCUUCCUAAUAAAUGCAAAGGUACAGUGUCUAGCAAACUGAGUUCUAGUAUCAGAUCAGAGGAAUAUCGGUAUCGGCAGAUAUCCAAAUUCUGGUAUCUGAUUCGGAUGGAAAGUAAAAAAAUGUGGAUUGGUGCAUCCCUAGAUGUGUACACAUUUUGGCAACAGACAUAAGGCACAAAUGUUUGAAGCUACGUGAAAGGGCUACGUACAAAUCAUCUCAAAUUUUAUCUGAGGUCGCGUGUGACUUAGGGCUUGGACAAUUCGCAAUUGUCCCGAAUUUCUUCAAAAUGUACAUCAAGGAUUCCACUUGUUCGAAGUGGUUACCGUGGUUGUAUUGGUGUAUUUAUAAAGAGUAUUAUUCACUCUGUAUAUACAAAGCAGUUUAUGUGUAAUAACAAGGUGCCAGAGAACCUUCUGACAGUAAAAUCAUUGGGGCUAAAUUGCUUCAACGAUUGAGAGACUGCGCUAUCACAGACCUCUGCUCAGAUGCUUGCUGUGCAUUUGACAAUAGAAAAAAAAAAAAAAUAAAUAAAGUAUGUGAUUUUGAAUGGCAUCUCCGGCAAGCAUGAGACGUUAACCCAGUAAUAGAUGUGACGUCUCAUCAAAAUGUGAAGAAAAUUAAAGGUUCUGAGGAGAAAUAUUGAUAUUUAAUUUUGUCGCUAUAUAUUUGUUAGUCCAUUAUUUUUCCCCCUCUGGUAUUUGUCACGUAUCCUUUUUCCACUACAAUGUUUUUAAACUGGAAGGACAUCAACAUGUGCCUGUGACCCCUCCUGUGUUUGGCUUACCGUCUUUCCUGACUUAGUGGCGCAUCACAGUGGCUGUCACACUUACGGAACCUUACGUUACAAUACAGCUUGGGGUCUGUGUUCCAUUACAAACAUGUUGCAACUCUGACCAGUCAGUUUGUACCAUCUAACUUACCGUCCCUCGUCUUCGCCCGUUCCUAUUUCCUAUUUGCACAAAGUUACUUUAUAGUUAUGGCUUCGACCUCAACCACACACAUCAAGGUUUUGGACAUUGAUGGAUGAAGAUUGUUUUCUGACCUACACACUCAUAUAUUACACUAGCAUUUUUUCCAAUUUUGUAACCUGCGUUUCUUGACAAACUCGUGUAUUAUCAUUACAAAUGUCAUCUAAAUAUUUGUAUUCUUUCCUCCUGACAUUGGUGUCACAUUAGCAGAAAGUGCAGCCGUGCAUCUCAAAAUGGGUAUUGCUAAAAUGAACGACUGAUCUGUGCUCGUGCAUUAAGCGUCUUGAAAUGCAGGUUUGAUAUUUAAUAGAUCACAAAAACACAUGGUAAAGCGUUGAAAGUGUUGCUCUAUUGUUGAAGACAAAAGGCGUCUUGGAUCAAAGUUUUAAUUUGGGAGGCAGCCGGACACAAAAUGAGCCAGUCCCUCGGCCCCACAGCGCAGAGACGCUGAGGGAUUGGCCAGUGCUUGGAGAAGCCAGCAGUGGGCUGGGACUCUGUGUCCUCCAGUCUAAAUAAUGACUGCUGCUCCUAGAAGCCAGAAUCAUUUUAAUGACUGAUUGUCUGCUGGCGUCCCUCCUGUUUGCUGUGGAGGUAGAGUACUGGUGGAAGGAGGAGGUCCAUUUCUCAUUGGCCCUCCACUCUUUUCUUUUCCAUGAAAACAGCUGGGCGUUGUUCUGUGAUUGGCCGUGGAGGAAUCAGACGUUUCAAGUUGAUUGGUGAGGAAGAGCUGGUGGGAAGUUGGAUACAGGUGAUGUUACAUUGAAGUGAGGCGGCAGCCUAUCCCUGCCAUUUGGCACUGUGUUCUCAGCCACACUGCUGUGUUUGACUCUGAGUCACAUGGUAACAGUGUUGUCUUGUAUGUUGUUGGGGAGAAAAUGGUCUCCAACCAAAGUAGUUUUCCAGUAUCAACCUGUUGGCUUCUUUAUUAACAGAAUCUCUCAAGAGCAUGUCGACCUACUCUGGGCUGGGCGGUACAAUCGGAACACCCUUGUGAACCGGGUCUUUAUAAUGUCUCAAACAUUUUAUGAGGGAGACAAGAUCAACGUCUAUCAUUGUGGGUUGUGAAGCCUUCUUAAAUAGUGGGGCGAGGCGAUACCAGUGGGGGCUCUUUUUUUUGCCGUACACACGCAGUCUACGGAUCGGUUUAUAGAAAAAGCUGUGUUCGCGUCAUGGCUCUGUGACGUGUCUAUUUGCCAGCGUCUGGAGCCGAGCAACAUUGAAGCUGCCCUUUAGAGCAGAAUCAGACGGGGCCGCGGAACAACGCAGUUUUAAGUGAUCACAGAAAGUCCAAUGAAAACUUUCAGGUCAGCACGCAACCUGUAUGUAUGGAGGCGCAAAACAUUUUCUGCCUUUUUGGGGGGGUUUCUAUCUGAAUAAUCUAAGUGAAAAACAAGCUCACGGCAGAGCUUUCAGACUUUCCGUGGCUAGUAUCCCAAAACAAGCAGCCUGGGCUUCUUUUCCUGACUGCUGCCCCCAUGACCCAGCCUCACACGACUGUGUGAAAACAACUUGAAAAAGUAAAGUAGAAAAAGUGAAGUAAAACAAUGUCAGCACUUGGAGCUACAAUAAUGGUGACUUCAUUUAAAUAUGAUUAUUCGACUUCAUAUAUCUAAUGUUUUGGCUCUCCGUAGUUUGGAGAAAAUAAUUUUUAACGAAUGACUUAGUUAAAGAGAUGGCUGAAUAAAUCACGUCAAGAAAAACAAAAGCAAAAUGGUGUCAUUUUGUAUAUUAUGACACAGACUUUUGUACAGGUUAGACCUCUCCGAAUUGACGCCUGAGAGGUGUAACCUGUAAGUUUAUUUAUUUUGUGUAUAAGUGCCAGUUACAAAAAUUGAUUAUUAAUGAAUCUCUCACACACUUUUCUCAUACGUGAAUGUUCACUGCAGUUAGCUUUUUUUUUACAGUAUUGUGAAUAAGGAUAUUUUUGCAAUAUUUGAGAUUAAAUAUUAAUCGUGUGGGUUUCAUGUUUUAACAUGAGUUGUUCUUCAUGAAUUGUUCUUUUGUGAGUGGUCAGGACACAUUGUUGAAUCUAUCAUUAAAGGGAAUACUGUAUCCUUCAUAUUGGAACGUGGAAUCUCACAAAUCUUUGCUGAUAUCCUCCACGGACCCUUCGGUGCUUGUGAGAGCCGACGUAGCAAGACUGUGUCGGGGGAGCGAGUUUUAAUUGGCCAUUUGUAUGUCAGAACUCUGAGGUGUGAUAUGUGUGUUAAGUGGGAGCUGGUUUGUGUUGGUCUGCCCAGCUUUGUCCAGCGCUUUGGCUUUUGUUCCUCCAGUAAUGAAUUGUGGAAGCCUUGGCUUCAGCCGGAGUGUCUCAUAGCAACUGACGAGAGACGGGGAGAGUUGGUGAAUGGAGAAAAGGCCAAGGGGAGAUCAUGUGUUGCUCUCAGAAAGGGCGAGACAGACAACCAUCGCUUGGCUGUUUUGGCAGAAUGGAAUUAUCAACUCUGUAGCCAACACCAUGAUGUAUCGUCUCAAAUAUUAAAAGGCUUCAUGUAGCUUUUUGAAGGCCACAAACAGAGAGUAGGAGCGGAAAAUAAUGAACCCUUAACUACAGGUGCAUCAAAUAACCGCUUUGUUGAAACCUACCGAUGAAAUUUAAUAGAAGGAAUAAUUCAUUUCUAGGUUGAAUAAAAACUAGCGAUUAGGAAAUUAAUGUUUUAGUGUCUGAAAGUGACCCACAAAAUGUGAUAAUUAUUAAAACAAGACUACUUUGGAAAUGGAUGAAAAUCAUUCUUCCAGUAUAAGCAACGUUGUUUCAUACUAUAAGUGGGCGGCUUUAAAUUUUGUUCAAUGAACUCUUAUUUUGCACCCAAUAAAUAGGUCUCAAGUCAACUACAAUGAGAUCAUUUUUGUAGAUCAUUUGAAAAUAUUUGACAUGACAGACCAUACAUAUUGAAACAUGUUGCCUUAGAUAAUGUUCUGAAAAGACUACUACUUGACUACUGUUCUUAAGCACAACUCAGAGAUUUACUUUUUGGGAUUCCAGAUUGUCCUUGUGACGAUGAGCACUGGUGAAUUUCAUUCUGAGUGGGUCAUAUGGUACUUACUUCCUAAGUUUACAAAGUUUAUAGAAGUCGAUAAAGAGAAAGAAGUCGGUAAAGAUGUGAGUGUCCUGUUGCAGUGUUUGGGUUUUCCUCCUUGCGAAGGGUUGUUGACGUCCAUCCUGAGCAGUUUUUUAUUAACGGAUGACCAGCGUGGAGCCUCGGCCAUGUUUGCACUGUGACCCAGACACCACCUGUCUGCUGCCAUGGUUACAAGGUCGAGGCAGGUUUUAGUGGCCCGACUCCAGGGAUUACUUUCCCGGGUCUUGACAAUCUGGCCCGUGCUCCAGUGACUAUAAAAUGGACCCAACUGGACCCGUUGCGGGAGCUUCACAGCGUGCCCAUGUGGCCUUUAAAACGACCCUAAGUGCAGUGUAAGGGAUUAGACCUUCUUGUGGUAAUUGCCCCGGUGUCAGUGACCGUCCCAGUGUGACCUGGUUUACUUGUAAUGAUGAGGGUCCAAAAUUAAAGUCCUUGCUGUGCAAUAUGCCGACAGGCUGGAUGAGGUUUCGUUGAAACAUGUCGUGUUACUGUCAAACUAAUUGCAUGGUCAAGAUAAUAACUUUUGGGACGUUAUUUAACAUAAAUAGUUUAGAAAUACUUUUCAAGGAAAUAAUUUCUCAUUUAUUAUUCAUUCAAAAGAAGUGCGUUGUUUGUGCAGAUUAGUAGCCAUUUUCAUGAAAUAUUCAGUAUUUCCCAAAUAGCAAUAUCUGCAUGAACUGAGGCCAGACCCAUUUUUUUGUACCUCAAUAUGCAGGAUGUGACUCCGGAGUGUGAUACGUGGUUUAAUAGGGCCAGAGUCCUACCUAGCAAGUCUCAACAACAAAGAAGUUGUCUGUCUUCGCUUUGUCAUCUCCUAACUUUUCUACUUUUCAUACUUGAAUUUUUUUAAAUUAGAAUGCCACCCUCCAUUGCCUGAAUAGACUUAAAACAUUUCCAGUUGUUAUUUGCGUGGAUGCAUAAAAAUAUAUAAAUUGAGAAGAAAAGAAGAAAUGCUAGUCAGUGCCAGCAACAAUAGUAACAAGCAUAAUGCAGCUUUGAACUCAGGACUUGGAAUUGCCACAUCUAAUAAAGACGGUUUAAUCUAAUCUUAGACAAGACCUUGGGAAAGAGCGGCCCGGGGACCACAUGCGGCCCUUUGCCUGUAUUUUUGCGGCACUUUUGUGGUCAGAUUACAUCUAUACAAUUGAUCUGUCGUACUUUUUCUUCUUUCUUUGUUUUUUUUGCUUCUUUUUUAGCCAUUACGAGACAAAAUCAUUCAUUUUUGUAUGUAUUUCUUGUCCCUCAAAAGCAUUGAAAAUUAUGAUUGAAAUGAAAAUACAUUUUGUAAUAAAUUAACUGUUUAGCUUUCUUAAAUGUUUGGUCAAUAGUUUUAUUUGGAUUUAUAUUCAAGUAAAUCGAUAUAUUUUUACAUGUUUCAUGGCAUAUUACACUUCUGAAUGUCCUCACUUACAUUUAAUCUUUUUGAGUCAAUUUUUGCUAUGUAACUUAAGUGUGUAUUUUGGAUAUUUCUCCGUCCUGUUUUAUAGUCAUUACCGUCUUUUUCAUGGCCCGAUGGCCCCUCGCAACAGUCACAGUUAAUAAUGUAGCCCUUUAGCCCUGUCAUGGAGAGGUUUUAUCCUCUCUGUACCUUUAGUCCUCUCAACUCCAUGGACCUUGGAUAUCUAUUCACUUCUCUUGUGUUAAUCAUAUAGGAUGUUGUGUCAGAUUGCCCAUGAUUUUUUUUGUCACUUUGUUGACAUGAAAUGGAUUUUUAUUAUUUUUAUUUCCUUUUUUUCAUAGAUUACUGACGAGGAUGUGGAGGAGCAGAAAUGAUCUUGAUCCAGACGCCGUGUGUCCCAGCAUGGCGCCCACUGCGUCUGCGCAACAGCGGAGGAGUGGAUUUCUGUGUCAUUCCUCCUCCUCCCACAUUUCUCCACCCUCCCUCCUGCUCUCUCUCUCUCUCUCUCUCUCUCUCUCCUUCUGUGUCUCCAUCUCUCACUCCUCUGCCCUCCCUUCCUUCCUCCCUCCCACUACAAAUACGGUCCCUCAAAUGAAAAAGUGGCCGGUUGGCGCGCUGUUCUUGCAUUUCAUCAGCAGUCCAACUCUCCUCUCUCUCACUCCCUCACUCCCUCACUCUUUCUCUCCACGUUUCGCCUUCUCUUCUGCCGCAGCCACACGCACAAGGGGAGACUCCAGCUCUGCGAGGGGAGGAAAGAGAGAGGAAAAGAAAAAGUCUGCUGCUGCUAUUUCGACCGUGCGGGCCUCCCCAUAGCCCGCCCUUCCAGAGCGUUUUUUUUUUUUUUUUCACACACACUCACACACACUCGCUGGAUUUUAACCCUCUGCCUCCAACUCCAGCUCUGCAAAACCUGGCAACAAGUUUCCAGCUCGGAUUUCCACUUUUUCGACAAGUUUCCUGUCAUAUUUGUUUUCAUUCUCGCCCCGGCUGGAUGAGAAAUUGGACCUUUUUUGGCGGGGGGGGUUAUGAGCACUCGCCGACUUCAUCAGCAUUCUGCGCCUCCUUCACCGGGUCUCUUUUCUCUGGGACAGGUGCCAAACGUGGACAAAAGAUGUUAAAAAAGCCCAAAGGAGACCCAAAUAUGGUCCUCAGAAAUGGGUUUUCUUGCAGUGAAAUGGCCACUUUGGCGUUCGUCCGAGGGCCGCUGUCGCACCUUGACUAGUUUGGAACUUAUUUUCGAGUAAAGGCAUCUGAUUGUAGUCGGAGAUGUGGGAGAGGAACAUAUAGAGUACUGAAUUAUUCAUGUCUCCACGGCCGUGACUGGACUGCUUGUGCUGUUUUCGCAUGAGACCAACUGUUUGUGUGUUUGCUAACAUUCAGACGAGCUCACAGACAGACAGACAGACAGCCAGACAGACAGCCUCAUGGCCUCCUAUUGUUUCAGGCCUCGCCGGCCCCUGGAUUCUGCCGGCGAACUUGAACUUGGACUCUGACCGGAGAAGGGUGCGAGUCUGGAGCAGAAUGGGAGGCUCGGCCCUCCGAGGGGAAACUCCAGCAGCUCUUGCCUCCAGAAGUGGGAAAGAUGCAGACUUCUGCAUCCCGAUCGGAGUUCCGCCGCCGUCGCCCUGCAGAUAUAUUGGUACGGCCUUCUUAUUUCCUCCUCCACUUCUUACCGAUGCUCGCAUCCUUGAAGAAUAAGUGUGGAAUACUCUCGGUGACCAUUUUGAUUCGAAAAAUUUCGCUCAGUGGUUUGCGUUUCCGCGUCGAGACUUCGCCGGCGGAAUCAGAAAUGCUCAAAUAUCCAAACUUAAAUUAGUAGGAACAACUUUUCGACAACUUUCUUUCAUGUUUGGGCAAAAUUUGUGAGGAUCCGGGCCGCAGCAACAUGCAUCCACUUACAGGCAAGGGUGAACCCGGUUUGUGGUUUGGAACCAGAAGGCCUAGGAUGAUUCAGAGGGCUUCGUAGGGGACGCAAGCUGCGUCGAACUAUCAUUCUGAAUAUAAAUGUUAACCCUUUACGCAAAGGAAAGCGCUAGACUUUAUUUUUUUCAAGAAAAUUAUGUACAAUAUGGAGCACUUUUCUACGAUUUGCUGAGUGUGCCCUUACGUAAGGUAUAGACCGACCCCUGAUCUGAUCUAAAUUUACUUGUUGAGAUAUACAUUUGUGUAUUAACUCACAGUUUAUGUUGGACAGAAACGUCUUCUCAUUUUGCAAGGACUUGAGCAUUUUACUAACUUUUCGAAGGGUAUCAUUGCGGAAAUCUGUGCCUUGUGUUCAUCAAUCUGUGUUCUUAUCCUGCUGUAAACUGGAUUUGCUUUUCUUGGUUGGUGUGCCGUACGAAAAUGAAAAAAUCAAAUGAAGCGGUUCACUUGUUCACACACUUUUGGAAAUAUAUAUUUGUUUUUUGCUUUACACAGAACAUUUCUUUCAGGCAACAUUUCUCAAAUAAUCUUCCGUAAUCCACUUCUACAGUUUUAAAAACUACAGCAGUUCUAUGCGUUCUGCAGAGAUUGCGGUUUAAGAAUAGUAUUUAAAAAGCGAAAAUACAGUUAAUAUGUAUUCCUCAAAUUGACUUUUGUGGAUCAACUUCAAGCGUCUUGAGGGCUUUCUUCUUUUAACGUUUCUUUGGUGAAGAAAAUCAGUUUGUUCUUGAUGUUUAAACGAGAUUGGGGAAAAAAAAAACAUUUUAAAUAAUACUUCUCAAUCUGCUUGCAUAUUGACAUCUGAAAUACAUAGUAAUAUUCAUAACUUUUCCCUGUGAUAAAACAUUUUUAAGCAAAUUCAGAAAAUGCAUAUUUUUGAGUCAAACUAAUAAUUUCCAAAGCUCCGUAAUCAAAAUCUAAUUUAUUUAUGAAAGCGCUUUUUAAAAAAUGCAACUGACAAUCAAAUCGCUGCAAUGAGAUAAAUGUGUUGAACUGAAAUAGUUCUUGUAACCAAAUUGCGUUUGAGGUAUCUGGUGAUUUAAAGAUGCAAAAAAAAAUAGGUUAAACGUAUUUUUUGGUCGAACUAAACUUUAAAAAUGAAGAACAAUGCAAUGAAAUAACAGAGCUUUACACUGUUUUUAAGUAUCAGGAAGCCAUAUUUCAUUGCUGACCUAAUUUUAAAGAAAUAUCUUUCCAACUCAUUAGAUCAAUACGUGUUUAAAUAAUUCCAUUUUAUAGUUUCCCAAACAAUGCGCGCGUGCUGUUUUGAAACGAAGACUUGUUGUUUUUCAAACUCUGUGGUGAAAACAGUUGUCGAUUGUUAGUGUGCGGACACACUUGUAAUUGUGUGUGCAUAAAUAUAUCCGUGUCUGUGGGUAAAUGUGUGUAAAUAACCUACAUGAGAAUAAUAUUUGUGCAUCAAUCUUCACUGCUGUGGACUCAGUGGUCUGUCAUGGUUGUGGCUGCUCCCACACUCCUCUGCCCCUCGGGCCUUGGUGGCUGGGGUCCCAGGAAACCAUUUUGGUGGGCCGAUGGUGGGCUGUUGGUGGGACAGCUUCAGCUGGUGGUUCCGGGGAAAAAAUGAAUCCGGACUAGUCGUGUUAGAUGAAGCCCACGAUCACACGUUUCUGUGUUCUGAAGCGGCCAUGAUGCAGUGUUGCAGCACAAGGACACACACACUCCCUCGCACACACACACACAUACAUUGACAUUCAUAACCCAACACAGUUGAGGUGUCUCCUUAAUUAAUUUAGCAUAAACAUUAAAUACUUAAAUCUGUUAUGUUUUAUUUGUACUUGCAGCCGUCAUAUAUUUCCGUGUGUGAAAGUGUGUGUGUGUGUGUGUGUGUGAGUCUAUUUUUAAUAUAGUUUUUAAAAUGAAUUUCCUUUAAGCUUUUAUUGCCUCAUAAAUAUAUAAAUGAAAUACACAUUAGGAAAAUUUCACGAGUAUCUUUUUAAAUAUUUUCUACAGAAUCAAGCCGUUUUUCGUGUUUUGGCUGCAAACUCAGUAAAAUGGAUCCUGCAGGCCACAUUCGAACUUGACAAUGUCCUUGAACUUGGACCUUGAAAUUGAUCUUGAAAAAGUGAGUUUCAACCUGAGCUUCGAAGUUAAUGCACCCCCGAUUUAUUCAUGAAUUGUGCUAAAGAAAAACAAAAAACAAAGCAGUUGAAUGUGAAUGUUAAAAUAAGGUCUUCAAGGUCAUUUGAGCCACAAAUACUGGCUGACUGAUGUAGGUUAUUUACACACAUUUUUUUGUGUGUGUGUACAAGGUAAAUAUAUAGUACGUAUCACGUAUUCUACACAGUACUGUUCUUUAUAUAAAUGCGGUUUUGAAUCCAGUCAAUAUCAUCAACAUUUUUGCUGUUGGACAUUAUGUUCAUGGCUCUUUCAUUUUGUGUUUAAUGCCACAUCAGUUAAGAUUCUUUCUGUUUGAAAAAAACACAAACAAAAUGUGCAAACAAAACUAGUGAGUUCGGUAAUCACAUGAUCAGUAAUCUAACUAAGUACUUGAGCUACAUUUGCUUAAUAGCUUCAUUACUCAAAUCAAAACUGAAUCCUCAACUGAAAUUGAAUUAAAUGGUGGACACAAGCUGUCAAUUUCAAUAUGUUGAAAUUUAAAGUCAAUAUUUACUGCGAGCUUGGGUGAAAUGUGUGAAUGAUUUUGGAUCAGGUUCUAAAUCUCGGUCCACGUCUUUUAUUCUGUUUUAUAGCUUUACACUCACAGAUGGGAUUUUCACGCCCGUGCUGUUAUUGAAUUACUUCACUCAUCAAGUUCACUUUGAAUUGUCAUUUCUGCGCAGUUUUCUAUCUUCGUUGUUUCAAUCAGAUAUUCACCAUCACAACUAUUAGUUGUAAUUUCACAAAUUAGACGGCACAUUAGGGGAUUUGACUGUGCACCAAGUGGUGGAGUGUAAUUUACAGACAUCUGGGAUUUAAAACUAACCUGCAGCCCAUUUAGCCUUUUUAAUUAACCAACCAACAAACAAACAGAGCAGCUAAACAACAAAACAUUUGCUUACUUGAGUGAACCUCUUCCUGAUAGAUAUGUGCAUGGCAAUGACUAUAGCUUCUAUUGACUGGUGACCUGCUCACGGUGUUCUGGCUCUCACCCUUUACAGUUGGGAAAGGCAGUGAAUGAAUGAAGACUGUUGAACUGCAGAUAACAAAGGCGACAACUUCCCUCCCUGCAUGAUCUGAAAAAUACAGUCAAAGGUCAAACAUGUAUGCACAUUAUUUUGCUUUGCUUUUUUUAUUGACCAGAUGUGAGGUGACAGUUUUUGGUUGGUUGGGAGUUAAGAGAGCCCAGGCGGUUUGGGACACGAGCAGAGCAGAGACAGUGUGGGACCAAGAAAAAGGAUGGAAGGAAGAUAACCAAUGAGGCUUGAGGAUGUGUUUUCUAGAAAGUACUUGAGGAGCAUUGAUGUGUCGAGGGAGGGUGACCAUUGUGGGUUGUGAUGGAGGACUUGCCCUAAGAACUGAGCCUUAGUCAUAAUGGUUACUCCACUGUUUUACCAUCUAAUGUGACUUCGAUAUAGACACAUGUAUUUAUCAUCUUUGACAUAGUGUUGGGUUUAGAUCCUGGUUCCCCCAGAUUGGACACUUUGAAGAGCCAGUUCAAGAAAUACUAAUUGUUUUACAUAUUUAAGAUAUGAGGAACAUAUGCAUCACAUCAUUACAUGCUGUUUGGGAAUUUAUUUUAAAUGUGCUGAGGCAGUGAAUGAAUGAUGACGUUCCACUGCUAUGGCCUCUGACCCUGAAGCCACUGAGCUUGUUCCCAUUUGGGAAACAAUACUUAAAUGAACUUCAAGAAGAGAUCCAGAGAUCUUCCUGCUCGGGUACAUUUCUCCUGAGGGGGAGAGAGCUGAACAGGCAGGCCGGGAGAGCUAAUCUCUCCUGAUAGUCCUCCAUGGACCCCCUUUGAGUUGGACAGAACUAGAGCAGCUCACUCUGUGCUACCGUCUCAGCCUUUCAUUUGGAGCAGCGGCUAAAGUGUCUUGUCUCUUCCACCGUCCUCUCUUGGUCACAACCUUCAGAAAGAUUGGAUUAGGAUUAUUAAACGUACCCUGUGAUAAACUGUGUUCGAGGGGGUCUCUCACCGAAGCAGCUGAGAUGGGCUCCAGCCUCCCGCAACUCCAGCUAAGCUUAACGUUAUCAUACUGAAACUGGACCUCAAACCUGAGACACAUUAGCUCCCCCUCCUCCUUAAGAAGAGGAGCUCUCAGAUUUGGAAGUGCUGAUCCUCAUCCAGUCUCCACCACACUUCCUUAACUGUAGACAGAGAUAAUUCCUAAUUGGAUAUAUUAUUUUUGGUGAUAAGAAAAAAAAAAAUCUGUAAAAUUGAAAUGUUACUGAUGUAUCAGGUUUGUAAAAAUGUCAAAGCGAGACUUGGUAAAAUUGACUUAAGGUGGUUAAAUGAAUUCUACUGACUCGCUGAACGUCGCAUGUAGUUCAGUUAUAUUGAAAUAAAUAUGUAACAGGUACAACAGAAGUACAAUUUAAUUUUGGGGAACCCCAACUAAAUAGAUAAACCGCACCAUACAUCACAAUCACCUUCAUAAGUUGAAGCCUUGAAACACAAUAAAAAUAGCCACAUAUGAAAACAAAAUCACAUGUCUGACACCACUAUUUACUGAAUCAGAACAACCUUUCAUGAAACAGAGUUGUGGUUACACUCAUUUUAUUUAGUUAAAACUAAAGAAAGUGAAUUUAAACUUAAACUUAGAUUUAAGUCAUUAAAAAGAUUGAAACUUUAGUGAAAUAAUCCUGAAAUCCUGUUUCAAAAAGUACUUAAAAGUGUGGAGUUUUGCAUCGAACGUGGCAUUAAACUUCUACAGGUAUUUGAAAAGAAUGUGAUGUGAAGUGAUGCUAGUAGACACGACUCGGUGUAACGUCUCCCUCCAUGGAAUCUAUUAGUCCCUGCUGACCCUGCUGAAUACUGAGGAGUUGGCGGCCAUUUUUAUUCUCAGUGUGUUAAUCAGGACGUCAGCUGGGAGUGUCACAAGUCAUUUAUCCGGCGAACCACAGCCUCUCCCCGGAGUCGCCGAGCGUGGUCCUAAUGACAUAAUAUUGGUGUGGAGGAGCGUUUCGGGGGGUGACGGAUGAUGUAGACCUUCCUGCAGAUGUCCCGCACAACUCCUGCGUCCUGAGUCAAGGUGAAGGUGUUUUUCUCAGAUGGACCAAACUAUUUUUAUUACCGAGAAGCAAUCCAUCUGUUUGUAUUUGGCACGGAUAACAGAUUUUUUUCAUUCCGUUUCCAACACAUCUGUUAUUUGUUGACUUUUAUACUGACAAUGUUGAGAACUGACAUGUUAGUUUUGUGUAUUCGUUUGAGUCAGUAUGACACAGCCUCCCAAAAAAGAUUUUUUCCCCCUCAUCAUUUCAUGAUCAUACUUCAGAUACAUUUUCACAUUUUAAGGGUGUCUGAAGACUUUUUUCUGCCGCUGCAGCCGCCAGGUCUCUUCACGCUGUGAUCGGUUGAUGCUCAGUCUGGUGACACCUCAUUGGUUAAACUGCAUGUGCUUGAGUGUUUGAAACAACCUGCGCCACCACAGCCCUUUGAGGGCUGGUUUGCACAUCCCUGGUCGAGUGCGAAUGAACAGGGGAUGAAAGAGUGAGGCCCGACACAGAUAUGGUCUGAGAGCAAGUGAGGAUUGGUUCAGUGAUUGUUCUCAUUUUGAGCAAUUGUUCUUUUGUAAACCUCAGCUGGUCCUAAAAAUCCCUCAUAAUUUUUCACCACUUCAAAGUCAAUUUAGUGAAUUUAGUGAUAACCAAUGGACCUACUUCCAUUUAAUGCUUGUAUUUCAAUAUUUAAAUAAGAGAUAUAUUGGAACUCGUCCAGUGGUACAAACUACCUACAAACACAUCUCUUUACACACAUUGUGUCCCAUGUUUAUUUGCUCCAUCUGAAGUUCCUUUAUUAUUGCCUUCAUUUGAAUAUUAACAACGUAGUCUCAUUUAAUUUGAAUUCUUCAGUGGGCAGAAUGGCAUGGAAGCUCGAAUCCUUUUACAAAUGAAUGAGGAGAUUUGUCUUCCGGAUGGUUUGCCAUCACUUUUCUGACCCAUUUCUUCACCUCUGGUGUCGCUCUCUUCCUAUUUGGAAGACAACACAUCGUUUUGUUCUUCACCAGUCUACUUUGACUCAGCUACACUGCUAUGUUUGGAGAGCAGCAACCUCAACAGGUCACUCUAGCAACACAGCACUGGUAUACGCUGACAGCCAUGCACUCACUCUCAACACUGACAAGUCUUCAUUCAACCUUUUGUAUGUUUUUGGACGUCUAAGGACAUAUUGAAAUGACAAAAAGACUACUAUGAAACAUUUGACAAAGGCCUCUGCUAGUUCUUUAGUCCGGACAGAUUCCCUGGUCCCUGAACCUGUGAAGCAAAGCGAUAUUCCAGAUAAAAGCUCCGCUGCGCCCACUCCACUUUCCUUUUCCAACGCUCAUAUAUUUCUCCGGCUCUCUGGCUCGUGCUGUUGCCAAGGCAAUUUAGUCAGAGAGAAAAAUUGCUGGAUCAGCAGAAAUUGUUCCACUCGGAGUUGGACGCGUUGAAAGGUUUCGCCUGCAACUGUGCGACUAUCAGAAUAUUCUUAAUCGUUCUGUGCUCCUCCCACUCUGUUUGUGUUGUGCUCAGCUAAGUGAUGGUGUGGCUUGCUUUGGAGGUCCACCAAAGGGGCUUUAAGCAAUAGACCUAACAAACAAUAGUUUGUCGGGAGACAAAUGUGACGAUACCUACCUCAUGUACAAACACCCUGUUGUUGUAUAGAACUGAAAACACUAUUUCAAGAUUAAGUGAACCCCAUCUAUACAUUUACCAUGAUAUACCCAUCGAGGAUCAAGCGCUGCAGAACCAAUGGGUGAGGUUGCACCAGGUCCAACCUCGCCCCCAGGUCCAACCAUGCAGCGUAUGAAACCUGCAUAUCUGGCACUCAUCCCAUUGAGUUACCAUGUGCUGUAUGUUCCAUUUGGUUACGUACAUGAAUUAAGUUUAAAAUCUUGUUAUGAACUUGCCGUAGCUCUGCCACAGCAAGUCCAAGACCCCCAACCAACAUGUCUUGAUCAUCCCAGUCACACCACUUCGUAUCAUUGUUUACCACAGCCAUGAACCUCAUUGUUUAUCUCUAUCUUUGCCUCAAAACAUCUCACUAUUGAAACUAUUAAAACUCAUCUCAAGGGUCACUUUCACUUUCCACUCCUUGAACAAUGCUUGUGACCUGCGAAGAUGAAGAUACAGUACAAUGCGCUGCACCAAACAAACUAGACACAGGUUUAAACCUCUGUUUAAGAGUAUGUAUUUGUAAAACCACUCCCACUUGUCACAAAUAUGCUCUUCAAGUCAUUCCUUGAACGUACAUGAGCCAAAAUGAUGGUCUAGCUGCCUUGAUUCUACCUGAAAGUCAAAUACUUAAGCUCAGUAUCACAGUGGCAACCUGUUGUAUCUGGUUUAAUUCAAUUUUACUGUGAGCUAUUCUCAUCGCUCCCUCGUUGGGACUCCGGUUUUGAAGGAGCGACUGUUCCACCACCUGUUGGGACUGGGCCAUGGUUUCGGCUUGACGUCUCUCAGAGGUUAUGGUGACCUUAAAUGGUUUCUUUCCGUGUGAAUAAAGUUGAGUUUCUGGUGUUUCACUGAACUCUCCACCUCAUCUCUCAGGGAAACCCAAGCCAACCUAUUGAGGAGCUCUUCUGGGACUCCUAAAUGGUUUAUAGAUGUUGUAAAGUCAAUUUCGUAAGUAUUACAACAUGAGGACCAAAACAGAGUAGUGGAAGUUCCCCUGCUUUCACGUCAUCCCCAGUUUGACAUUGAUAUUUUGCCAACAUCUCCGAGUGGCACCAGGGGUUUUGCACACUCGACACGAGGUGUGGUGGUUCCCUAUAUUCUGUACUCCCUGAAUUGCUUCACUUGGCUCAAUGGCCGUCCUGCCUGAGCCUAUUUUACCCUUAACAUUGUGUCAUAUGCAGCUCCUCCUUUACGACACGCUGUCUUGUGUUCUCAUUAGAGCUUUUGGUUCCAACUUCUCAAGCAGUUUUGACAACCUACUGGCUAUUGUUCUUAUUCACUCCUGUUUGGCUUGAUGGGUUGCGGCCCAAACAGAAUAACAGUGAUUUAUAACAGCGCUUAUUCCUUUAUACCAUCAGCUGUUUCGCAGCUGUAACUGUUGCGGCACAUCAUGGGAAUUGCAGACCUUUUAUGUGACUGGGCAACUUCUUUUUAAGGUGGUCCAACCAGCCAAGAUGAAACCCCUCGUCUAUACGCUGUUAUUUCAGUGCGUACAGCAGAGUUAGAAUACAUGUUGUAUGUACUUUCAGCGCCAUAUACUUGCUCUGGCUUUAUGAGUCAUCGGCGUACUGUACUGGCUUUCAUACACACACAGAGUGCAGUGAGUGCACAGCUCAGACAUGAAUCCCUCGGUGGGCCGGAGGGAUUGGGUUACACAGUACACAUGUGCUGGCACUGGGCCAAGGGGCUGCACUGUGAUUAUAAAUGUUCUAAACAAUAUAUGAAGUCCCCCCUGCCCGGCAAGGCCACGUCGCGUGCUACAAUUAGCGUCCUUGUGCUGAAUUAUCACCCGUCAGCUGCAGCCGCUGCUGAAUGGGGCUCUUUGAUUGGCAGGGACUUCUUUAGCAGAUUAGCCCCCCUCACCAGCCUCCCACACUAACGUUACAACACCUGCUUCUACAUUUAACCCGAAAAAGGUCAACACGUUUGGCCGCAACCAGGGAUGGGGAAAAAUACAAAAUUCAGUUGAUCAUGAAGACUCAAAAUUUGGGGAUGGAGAGCAGACAGAGAGAGCAAUUUACGAGCUAAAAACGUCUGUCUUCUUGACUCUCGUGGACUUUCAAAGGCUUCCCUUAGGAUAAAGUAUUGUGUGAAGCUUUUGAAAUGUUCAAUGUUGGCACUAUGGUAACAUGACGUGUCUGUGAACGCGAUUUAGGGUUGACACUUCAGCUGCAGGUCAACGUGUCUGUUACCAGAGUUGUGCUGUUCCCCGUCAGUUACAGCAGAGGCAGGUCACAGUCAUGGAUCCGCCGGUUAAGGUAGUAUGGACAUCGAUAUCGGAAGGUUUGCUGAGCAUAACAAUAGCUGACGACGAAAUCAAUUUUGUCUGCAUGACUGUAUGACCCAGCAUUCAUACGAAUAUCACCGGGGUUUACCUUUGCUCUCUCUGUGAUUGGAAGCAUCUUCCUCUGGUGCUUGGGUUCAGGGCCAGAACCUUCAUAUGAUGCAUACCAUUGAACUGUCUUUGUAGGCCUUAGAACAAAUGACUAUUACGCUGAGGUGUGACUCUGCUGUCAUUGUCUCAUCUGGCCACAGAAUCCCAUGAUAGUCUUGCAUAUACAAGCUAGAAAAAAACUGUGGUCUCAAUUGUCCCAAGAAUUGCUCCACUCAGAGUCACUUCUUCUCAGCAUGGAAGUCCUACAGACUCGGCAGGUUGAGUUGAUGGCUUCCAACCAGGAUGUGGCAUGUUAGCCCAUCACUCCGACCGCCGCUGAUGAUGAAUUUCCCAUCCCACUCGACCGUCCUUGUUGUUGUAUUUCAUUACAGUCGCCAACAUCACAUUGCUUCUGACAUCGCACGCCCACACUGGGGCGAUGUCAAACGCUUCCCCUGAUCGAGCCCCUCAACGUGCCCUCGUACGUGUGAACAGGAACAUACUGCGCCGCAUGUGCAGAUGAUCGCUUAUGUUCACAAGUACAUGAACACACUUCACCCACGCGCAUGACACCAGGAGGCUUUUAGUAGCGUUGCCAAAACUGUGUGUGCAAGUGGGUUAUCGUGGACAGGGCCAUAGCCGCGCUGGAGCUGGUCCGUCGGUGUGGGGCGAUCGCGGAGGCGAGGAGCCGCUGAAGAGGGUGCGGGGGGUUUCAUGUUCCACUAAUGAGUUUACUUGACCAGGCAAGUCCGUGGGUUGUGCUGAUUAGUGAACAGAACAGAGUUGAGGAGCUGUCACUGCUGUUGCUGCUUCAUGUCAACGCCCACAGACGCUUAUUUUUUUCCCCUUGCUAAAUUGUACCUCGAAGAAGGAUGUUUCAUCCAUAAUACAAUACAAUGAUUGUGUUUGCGAAGUUGUGGCUGCUUGUGGAAACGACUGUCUCUCAAGUGCCGCAAACAUUUUGCCAAAGACACAGAAUACGACAGCAGUGUUUGUGAAUUCAUGACCAAAUAGGAGUUCUGUUUUGCUGCUUUUCCGUCGCUCAUUAUUGAUCCAAUCGUGUAUCGCUUUGCAAAUGGGUACGUCGCCAUUUCUGCUGUGGUUACAAGCAGCGAUUAUGCCAGUUAAUAGGCACAAUCUACUCCAGCGUGCAGCCCUAACCCAAGCCCCACUCUCUGUAAGAAACCCUAAAUGUAACCUCAAUGUUGAAACCAGGAUUGGUGGCGUAUGUAACUGGUCUGUGAACCUGGUUCUGGUUUGCGUAAAUAAGCCAUGCUCACUCCCAUGGCCAGCCAUUGACACGUUGUUACAUGAAGAACGAAAGGAGUGCCAUCCCAUGCCUCACCUAACACCAGCCUCCAUCUUUCUUUCACGUGACGCGCGGUCUACGGCGUCAGUAUAGGACGCAAAAGUCCAGGUUGAUGUAUUACGCCAUGGAAGUGAGGAUGUGAAAACAGGUAUGCCCAUUUGUGGCGGCAGCUGGAUGAUACUGGCUUUAGUCAUACUGUUUGUUAGCACCAGUAUUGACGCUAGCUAACAAUUCCCACUUCCAAGGGUUCCACGAUGUAGCAAAAUGUUCAUCAGGGAACUAGAAGCCAACUACCAAGGCAAACGGAGCUUUACAAUGUAGGGAUAAAUAACUCGCGUCGGCUACAGUGCCGCUCUCUUCAGCCUGAGUUUGGGUUGGAUGUUUGUACUGAAGGCGUUGUCAUACGUUUGAGCUUCUGGGGUUAGGUUGACAAAUGAGAUUAAAUGAAUGCAAACCUGUUUAACCUUUGAAUGCUAAUGCCGCACCGUCGUGGUGUUGGAGCAGCUUCUGCGCUGGAGGAGCUGAGAACUGUAUGUAUUGACUUUUGUUUCACAGUGGUGGUGUGUGGAAUAUUUAAGUCGUCCAAGAAAGCAAGCUCUGGUCUCAGUUGUUCAUAACACUCGCUCAUUUCUCUCCUUCUCGUAGGGGGGAAGUUCUGCCGCGGACAUAAACAAGUGACAUCAUUUCUGCUGUCAAAUGUUUGCCGUGAACUUACAGCCCCAAGCAGAGUGUUGCUGAGCCCAAGCUCCGCCCCCUUUACAGCACCUGAGCAGGUGAGAGCUUCAACAGCUGCACUGUCACAACACCAGCCGCCACUCCAGCACAGUUCACAUCAUGCUUGAAAUGUCUUAGUCAAAAUGAAGAGAAAAGGUUUCAAAAGAAAAAAAACGUUUUUGUUUAAAAAACUGCUGAGUAAUGGUUAAAGUGACAGCGAGUUUAACGCAGUUCACGUUUGCAUAUUAAAAUACGCCGGUGCUAUUUGUUUAUGAACUCGCUCACCUUGUGUCGUCAUUUGAACUUGAACCCGUCGACCUGACUGUCUCUGAGCACACACACGGACGGGGGCGGGAGUGUGUGUGUGUGUGUGUGUGUGUGCGCUCAGUGUGUGAAUCCUCACCAGUGUUUUGUGUUCAUGGAGGUGUGUCAGCGACGCUUCUCUGCGCGAGCCGGAGCCUGGAGGGACUUUUCUCUGACUGUCCUUUGGGGUGAGGUAGUAGGUUGUAUAGUUUUAGGGUUCCACCCUUCCUGUCAGAUAACUAUACAACUUACUGUCUUUCCUGAAGUGACUGUAAUGUCGUCGCUCACCUGCGUGGGAGCCUUCGGACCCGACGCCACCGUCUUGUCUUUCCGUGGCUACCGCAUUUGUCACCUGAAGUUAGCGCUGUAUUGUCUGAAUCGGUUUGAUGCUUUCAAGUGUAUUGUUUUCCUUUUUAUUUUAGCGGCUAAAUAUCGUCCACAGGGACAUCUAGUGGUUCUUUUUAUUAUUGCAUGUUUAUUAAGAAACUCUUGGGAGACUUUUCGAUAAAGGGAAUAUGUUAAGGAAACGUAAAAUACUUCCAUAUUCAGCAGAAAUUUAUGUCACAUUGAAAGUAUAGGCAAAGAUUUAUUAGCUUCUACUUUAAAAUGCUACGACUAAUAAGGAAUAUAUUGCUUUCCUCAGAAACAAUGUUAUUAAAUAUUAAAAUUAAAUCACAAAAUUGAUUUUUUUUUUUUAGCCUCAGUUUCAAUUGAAAUUCAAAAGUUAAAUCGCUGGUAGAUAUAUUUCUAUUUAAGAUAUCGGCUGAAUAUAUGUAGUGCGGUAAGAGGAAAAGAUGCAUUGAUGUUUUGGAGCUGAAGUAAUUUAUUUAUGAUUUAAUAUACUUGAUCUUUGCAUGAAAUAAAAAAAAAUCUUCAAAUAAUGCAGACCCUUUGGGGUGAAUGAGACUUAAAAUACAUUCAUUAAAACUGGCAAAAUUUCUAAUUUUAUUUUAAACAAUAACAUUUGAAGAAACAAAAUAAUACUGAAAAUAAAAAUCAAUCACGAGAGAACAGCCUUACUUUUCUGACUUCCUCUUGGAAAAUAUUGGUUUGUUUCGUCUAUUUAAUGUCUGUUUUUGACUGUGUUGCAUUCACUCAAACAAUCAGAACCAUGUUGAGUUUUCAAUGUAAAACCUGCACUGUGGCGCUUGACUGUGAGCAUCCAGCAGGGGGCGUGUGUGGUGCUCGUACGGAGUGAGGUAGUAGGUUGUGUGGUUUAAGGGUAGUGAUUUUGCCCAAUCAGGAGAUAACUAUACAACCUACUGCCUUCCCCGAAGGGCAGCAAAACUUCGUCUGGUCGCAGGUCAGCGGGCGUCAGCAGCCAGCCUGUUGACUCGAACCCAUCGUCUGCCUGCGCCGAGGACGUCAUGCUGGUAAGGUGUCUUAAAAGUGCUGCGUCAAAGACAAAUAAAAACCUAAAAAUCAAAAUGGUGGUCCUCGGGUCGUUCUUCCAGAGAACUGUGGUCGUCGAGUGUACUGACAUCUAGUGGCCAAGGGCCAAAGUAAGUUACGACUUGUUCAAUGUACGCAGUCUGUUACGGUUAAAACGUGGUGUUGGUACUGGAUUUCCUCCUUCCGACUUUCACAUCACCUGACGUCCAGGCUUCUACAGUAACGUCCGCAGACUACGACUCAAACGUUUCAGGUCGGAUCACGCUUUGCACCAUUUAUGUCAUUACUCUCUCGCCUUUUUGUACUCCUGGCGAAACCGCUAGCACGUUUACGUCCAGU